rfam:Gossypium raimondii Chr04_contig_829, whole genome shotgun sequence.
AAUAGGAGAAUGAUAAAUCAGAUUUUUCUCUUGUUUUUCAGCCUUUCUCCCUGAAAAAUUCAAAUCCAACUAAAAACGCUAAAAACCAGGUGGAAAAAGUUAAUUUACCCUUCUCUUAUU